AAAAUAAAAUUGUUAAAUAUAAAAAUAUUUAAAUACUGUUCUCUACAAGCUUUAAACUUUUAGAGAACAACGAUUGUUUCACAUGGUAUCAAAGCAUGAUGUUCUAAGUUCGAGUCACGUCAAACUCCUAGCAUUAUUAAUUUCCUCUUAUUUAAUUCAAAUUCAUGUCAUGGGUCUAGCGAAAAAGUCUCGAGCCAAGACGUGAGGGACAUGUUAAAUAUUAAAAUAUUUAAAUACCGUCCUCAACAAGUUUAAGCUUUUAGAGAAUAAUAAUUAUUUCACAAAAAUAUUCAAAUUAUUUUUGUUUCAUUUAAUU
rnacentral:lncRNA from 1 species